GAUUAUAUAGUGAAGUUCACAUUAUUAUUUCAUGAUAAAGAUGUUAGUUCUUUUUAUCUUCA
rnacentral:tRNA from 1 species